CCAAAACCAAAGCCAAACAGUUUAAAAGAAUCUAGAGAGUCCUAGAAAAUACAACCUCUCAAAACUCAAUGCCAAAACUUAAAUAAAACAGUAAAACAAAAUUAAAUAGUAAUAGGAAGUGGUCACUAUCGAGUCCUCCGCUGCACCGAUCCGUCUAACUCUAUGGAUUACCUGUACAGAACAAAUAGAGAAGGGGUGAGUUUACGUAAACCUUAGUGUGUAACCCGCAGAAUUAGACAUGUACACAUACAAAAAUUCAAAACCAUACAAACAUAGAUUCGGGCCUAAGCCCAUUUUAGAUUCAGACAUGGAUGUGCAAAUCAGAAUCAGAAAUUAGAUUUCUACCCCUAUCCUCUACACACCAUAUCCGUCCAUCCCUACACACCAUGUGGGAUUUGAAAUACCCACCCAGCCCUACAUAUCAUAUUUUACCGAUGCGGUACAUAACAGAUAUGAUGUAGCAAUGCUGCUAGAUAAUAGCCAUAAAUUGCCUUUCUGUAGCACCCCAAACCCGGCCCAGAAGUUAUGGCCGGAUCCGGCAUGCCACAUCAAAAACGUUAAAAAAAAAUUUCCAUUCUAAGUCCAGAAAGUCGUACUUGAUGUUCAAAAGAUUAAUUCAUUAAGGAUUAAAGUGAAUGGAAGCUGUGCACCAGGUAGGAAACUGGAAAAGAGGUGGUGAGUCCAUCGGACUGCUUAAGUACCAAGCUCCCUUCGGAUCCAAUCCUAGACAUGCAUACCGCCAUUGCCACACCUUAACGUCAUGGAUAUUUCUAGGAAACCGAUUUGAUUAAGUCAUUUUUAGGAAAAGUGAUUAAUUUUGGAAAAUACUUUCAUUGCGGAAGCUUUGCUUGUUGUCGUGUUAUUUUGAAAUAAACUAUUGUUUUUGAAAACGUGCCCUAAAGCUAUCCAAUUUCAACAGUUAAAAUAAGUAUUACCUAUCUUAGUAAUACAUAUUAAAACCAUAAAAAAUAGUUAAGCGGCCUUAUUACAUUUAAAAACCCAAAACUUCAAUCGUAAAUAAAAGGAUGUCCAGUUCACCAGAAGAAAAUCAAACUUUCAGAACGAGUGGCCACUCCGAAUUCUCUCACAGCUCCAAGCCCACUAUGGUUGGGGAUUUCCUGCGUGGAUGAAAAUAAAAGGGGUGAGUUUGGGGAAACUCAGUGUGUAAAUUAACCCAACCAUAGCCUAUAUCAGCUCAAACCACAGAAAUAGAAUAAGUUGGCCUUAGCCCAGAACAGAAUUCAGAAUAAAGCCCAUAGGCCCAUAACAGAACAGAACAGAUAUUACAUGUUUAUGCAGAAACCCAACCAUAUCCAACCGUAUACACCCCCGUACCAACCUUACACCAUGUGGGGAGACAACUCGACCCACCCAACCGCUACACACCACAGAAUUUGUAGCAUGGCUGCCAGAACAGAUAAUGUGACAGAGUCACCAGAUACAGAUAAUCGUGGCAAAGCCACCAGAACAGAUAUAUGUGGCAGAGCCACCAGAUCAGAUAUUUGUGGCAGAGCCACCAGAUCAGAUAUUUGUGGCAUAGACACCAGAACGCUUCCUCCAUAAUAUAACCCAUGUCCCCAUGCAACAGAUAUAUAAUCAUGGCAUACAUCAUACAGAAUCAGAUCGUCAUGCUUUUCAGUCAAAAUUAACCCUAGGGGUAUAACGGUAAUUUUGCACCUAGGGGUAUAACAGUAAUUUUCCAUACAUAGGGGUAUUAUAGUAAUUUAGCUACUUUUAGGGUUUUCAUGCAUAUCCUAACUAUUUAUGUACUAUCAGAACACUUACCGCGCAUACUUACCGAAUUGGGCCCGUUGGCCUAUGAACCCGAUCUUUUGCCCAUUAAGCCCAAAUUAUCAAAAUGUACGAAAUCGCGCGUACUGCAGUUUAUUACUUUAGAUUACCAAAUAUACAAACCCAACUAUCUUACAAGCAUUCGCACACUCGCAAAUUCCCAAAAUACCGACUUUUCGGCAUUUCGGCUUUUCGGCUUUUGCCAAUCUAGUCUAUGAGAGGGUGUCAGUUACACACCUAUUUGCGACGAUAUGCUGACGAGAUCCACACACGAACCGCCUACAAUUGGAUUACUAACACGUUAAUCUAACUAUUCAAAUACAAACUACGUAUUAACCCCUUACAAUAUUCGGCCAACCACACCUACAGAUCAUAGUAAGCUUAUAAGAAAUCAAUAAGCAACUCAUUAACAAAUUUUGUCAAUGUUUACCACAUAAUCAUAAUUUCACUGCAAGCUGUCUUCCUGAGCAACAGUCACUAAAUUAUUUAUAACUGGAGCUACGAAAUUCCAAAUCAAGUGCCGUUAAUUUUCCCUGAAAAUAGACUCAUAUAUAUUCUAUCCAUAAAAUUUUCAGAAUUUUUUGUUUAGCCAAUAAAUACCAGAUUUUUCUCAAAGUUUCCCAUGUUUCACUGUUUGACUAAUCUGACCACCCUUCAUUACGAAUCAAAUUUCUCAUUUUACAGAAUUCAAAAUAUGUUCUUGUUUAUUUCAUUAGAAACUAGACUCAAUAAGCUUUAAUUACAUAAUUUAUUCAGCUUCUAACUCAUCUUCCACAAUUUAUGGUGAUUUUCCAAAGUCACGUUACUGCUACUGUCCCAAGCAGAUUUAUUACCAAAUCACUCUUUCACACCUAACUUGCAUGCUUGUUAUUUAAACAUGUAUAUCACCAAUCAAUCAUCAGAUAUCUAUGAUUUUACUUAAGUAUAAUCUCCAUUUCAUCAUUUUAAAGCACAACAUGUUAGCUGAUUUUUCCCUUUAACAUCUAAGGCACAUGCAUGCUUAUUUGUUUGGCUCAACUUCACCUAUCUUCCAUUCUUCAUCAAAAGAACAUGAAACAACAACCAUUUCCUUCAUUUUAAUUCAUGACUAAAUGCUCACAACACAACUAAAAAUCAAAAUAUACUUCAACAGUUAAGGUAGAAUCAAGAAGAACUCAUGAACCUCAAAAUAGAAGCAAGGUACCAAGAACUAUUACCUUCAAUAUUCCUCCUCCUAAUGACCAAAUACUCAAGAGCUUUCUCCUCUCCUUUCUCUUCUCUAACUUUCAGCUAUGAUGAACAAAGAUGGACAAAACUUUGUUCUUUUCACCCCUUUUUCUUUUAAUAAAACUUCAUAUUUCAUCCAUUUAAUUCUUUAAUACAAAAGACAUGAAAUUCUUAUCAUGAAACAUUUACCUAACCCAUUAUCAUGGAACAUUUACCUAACCUAUUAUCAUGAAACAUUUACCUAACCCAUUAUCAUGGAACAUUUACCUAACCUAUUAUAAAGGAACAUUUACCUAACCUAUUAUCAAUUUGUAUCAAUUUGUACCAUAAAUUAUGGAUAUCAAGUGUACAUUUUGUCUAUAACAACAUGAUGGCUGGCCACUUCAUGUAAAAUGGGAGGUUUGUCAUGCAAAUCCUCCUAUUUUGCACUCCUAUUUAUUUGGCCACUUCAAUUUAGCCUAUAGCAUUUUCAAACAUUUU
rnacentral:lncRNA from 1 species